GAUGAACGCUGACAGAAUGCUUAACACAUGCAAGUCGACUCGAGUCUUCGGACUUGGGUGGCGCACGGGUGAGUAACGCGUAAAGAACUUGCCUCUUAGACUGGGACAACAUCUGGAAACGGAUGCUAAUACCGGAUAUGAGCUCCUGCUGCAUGGUGGGGGUUGGAAAGUUUCGGCGGUUGGGGAUGGACUCGCGGCUUAUCAGCUUGUUGGUGGGGUAGUGGCUUACCAAGGCUUUGACGGGUAGCCGGCCUGAGAGGGUGACCGGCCACAUUGGGACUGAGAUACGGCCCAG
rnacentral:rRNA from 1 species